rnacentral:rRNA from 1 species
CACACUGGGGAUAAUUUGGCUGGAAAGCCGAAUCGUAGAGGGUGACAAUCCCGUACAUGCCUCAGACCGUGCUGCGUACGGUGCGCUUCCGAAGAGUCGGGUUGUUUGGGAUUUCAACUCAAAGUGGGUGGUAAAUUCCAUCUAAGGCUAAAUAUAGGCAAUAGACCGAUAGCGAACAAGUACUGUGAAGGAAAGAUGAAAAGAACUUUGAAAAGAGAGUUAAAAGGACUUGAAAUUGCUAAAAGGGAACCGUUUGGAACCAGUGUGACGGCCUCCCAUACUGCCUCUGCUACAACAGCAGAGGUUUCGUGGGGGGAUGUCAGUCAGCAUCGGUUGGGUGCGCGGGAGAGCGCCUCACGGGAAGGUGGGCUGGCCCUCAUUUACUUGGGGUGUCCGGUCGUUAAGCCCGAGGGGAGUGCGUCGUGCACCCGACCGAGGAAAGACGAAGCUGCGCACACAGCCCGGAGGGGGCGUUGGUGCCCGGCGUGGUGGCCUCAGCAUGCUGAACCGCUACGUGCAGGGUGCCAGCUGCCCUUAAAGGGAGCGUGGUGAGAUGCUGACAAAAUGGUUUCAAAUGACCCGUCUUGAAACACGGACCAAGGAGUCUAACAUAUGUGCGAGUAUUAGGGUGGCAAACCCUGGUGCGCAAUGAAAGUGAAGGUGGGUGUAACAGCCCGCUGAGGUAGGAGGGGUGGCGUCCGCGUCGCCCCGCACUAUCCACCGAUCCUGAUUCUUUGAUGAAAGAUUCGAGUGUGAGCAUAGAUGUUGGGACCCGAAAGAUGGUGAACUAUGCCUGAAUAGGGCGAAGCCAGGGGAAACCCUGGUGGAGGCUCGUAGCGAUUCUGACGUGCAAAUCGAUCGUCAAAUUUGGGUAUAGGGGCGAAAGACUAAUCGAACCAUCUAGUAGCUGGUUCCCUCCGAAAUUUCCCUAAGGAUAGCUGCAACUUGUACAGUUUUAUCAGGUAAAGCGAAUGAUUAGAGGCCUCUGGGACGAAAUGUUCUGGACCUAUUCUCAAACUUUAAAUGGGUAAGACGAGCGACUUACUUCAUUGAAGUCGUUCCGCGAAUGGAAGUUGCUAGUGGGCCAUGGCCGGUAAGCGGCUCUGGCGAUGCGGGAUGAACCGAACGUGAUGUUAAAGCGCCAGACUAUCCGCUCAUGAGAACCCAUGAAAGGUGUUGGUUCAUUUAGACAGCAGGACGGU